rnacentral:rRNA from 1 species
UCCUGCCGGACCCGACUGCUAUCAGAGUGGGACUAAGCCAUGCGAGUCAACGCAGCAAUGCGUGGCACACGGCUCAGUAACACGUAGUCAACAUGCCCAGGGGACGUGGAUAACCUCGGGAAACUGAGGAUAAACCGCGAUAGGCCAAGGUUUCUGGAAUGGACACUGGCUGAAACCUACAUGGCCCCUGGAUUGGACUGCGGCCGAUCAGGCUGUUGGUGAGGUAAUGGCCCACCAAACCUGUAACCGGUACGGGCUUUGAGAGAAGGAGCCCGGAGAUGGGCACUGAGACAAGGGCCCAGGCCCUAUGGGGCGCAGCAGGCGCGAAAAUUCUGCAAUAGGCGAAAGCUUGACAGAGUUACUCUGAGUGAUGCCCGCUAAGGGCAUCUUUUGGCACCUCUAAAAAUGGUGCAGAAUAAGGGGUGGGCAAGUCUGGUGUCAGCCGCCGCGGUAAUACCAGCACCCCGAGUGGUCGGGACGAUUAUUGGGCCUAAAGCAUCCGUAGCUUGUUCUGCAAGUCUUCCGUUAAAUCCACCUGCUCAACAGAUGGGCUGCGGGAGAUACUACAGGGCUAGGAGGCGGGAGAGGCAAGCGGUACUCAGUGGGUAGGGGUAAAAUCCUCUGAUCCACUGAAGACCACCAGUGGCGAA